ensembl:snRNA U6 U6 spliceosomal RNA
GCGCUUGCUUUGGUAGCACAUAUGCUAAAAUUGGAAAGAUACAGAGAAGAUUAGCAUGACCCCUGUGCAAGGAUGACAUGCAAAUCUGUGAAGUGUUCCACAUUUUU